GACGAACCGUGCGAACGUUGUUCGGAUUCACUGGGCUUAAAGGGCGCGUAGGCGGCUUGCCAAGUCAGGGGUGAAAUCCCACGGCUCAACCGUGGAACUGCUUGGCAUACUGGCGGUCUUGAGCAACCUAGGGGCGAGCGGAACAAAUGGUGGAGCGGUGAAAUGCGUAGAUAUCAUUUGGAACGCCAAUGGUGAAAACAGCUCGCUGGGGGUUUGCUGACGCUGAGACACGAAAGCCAGGGGAGCAAACGGG
rnacentral:rRNA from 1 species